AAGGUGAAUAGAUAUUCAUUUCAGUUGCAGAAUUUCAGAAGGAAUUUAGUAUAGUGCAGUUGCACUGUAUAUCAAGAACAAAAAGACAAAUCAUGCAUUAGAAACAAGCAUAUGCUUUACUGCAAAGACCCUUCUGAAUCACCAAAAUGUGUCUAUUCUUAGCAAAAACAAGGUUUUGAAGGAAGCUGUACAUAUUUAUUUCUGGAAAAUCAUAAGCACUUUUCUAUCAGAACAUGUCAAAAUGUCAUAGUUAGUGUGUUGAGAAUGCAAUUAUUCAAAAAAAGAAUGCUUCUACUAAAUUUUACUUCGGAGUUCAAAAGGCAAAGUUGAAGGGUGGCAGCUUUGACAAUUCGAGGAAUUCUUCCUUUUUCCAUUUGGGGAAAACACAGUACCUAAGAAAGCUAGAACAAUCCUCCAGGUUAAAAGAAAUAGAAUCUUGUCGUGAUGGAUGCUACAAAAAGCUAAACAUGCUUAAGUCUGAAGCCCAGGAGUGAUAGAUGCUGAUUCGGGUGGAUGAUAUCAGAUGCGGAUGAAGAGGGAGAUCAAUGUGGAAUAAUGAGGAAUACAUGUAUGCUUUGGCAUAUUGUCUUAUAUAGUUCAUGUAUCUUUUGUUGUGGCCCAUCUUCUCUCUUGUGGCUUAAAAUGCAUUGCUCCAAGUUCUUGCAAUUUUACAAACACCAAGUGGUGUGUGU
rnacentral:lncRNA from 1 species